GACGAACGCUGGCGGCGUGCUUAACACAUGCAAGUCGAACGGAAAGGCCCUGCUUUUGUGGGGUGCUCGAGUGGCGAACGGGUGAGUAACACGUGAGUAACCUGCCCUUGACUUUGGGAUAACUUCAGGAAACUGGGGCUAAUACCGGAUAGGAGCUCCUGCUGCAUGGUGGGGGUUGGAAAGUUUCGGCGGUUGGGGAUGGACUAGCGGCUUAUCAGCUUGUUGGUGGGGUAGUGGCUUACCAAGGCUUUGAAGGGUAGGCGGCCUGGGAGGGUGACCGGCCACAUUGGGACUGAGAUACGGCCCAGACUCCUACGGGAGGCAGCAGUGGAGAAUAUUGCACAAUGGGCGGAAGCCUGAUGCAGCAACGCCGCGUGCGGGAUGACGGCCUUCGGGUUGUAAACCGCUUUCGACUGUGACGAAGCGUGAGUGACGGUAAUGGGUAAAGAAGCACCGGCUAACUACGUG
rnacentral:rRNA from 1 species